AUUGAACGCUGGCGGCAUGCUUUACACAUGCAAGUCGAACGGCAGCGCGGGCUUCGGCCUGGCGGCGAGUGGCGAACGGGUGAGUAAUGCAUCGGAACGUGCCCAGUAGUGGGGGAUAGCCCGGCGAAAGCCGGAUUAAUACCGCAUACGACCUGAGGGGGAAAGCGGGGGACCGAAAGGCCUCGCGCGAUUGGAGCGGCCGAUGUCGGAUUAGCUAGUUGGUGGGGGAAAGGCUUACCAAGGCGACGAUCCGUAGCUGGUCUGAGAGGACGACCAGCCACACUGGGACUGAGACACGGCCCAGACUCCUACGGGAGGCAGCAGUGGGGAAUUUUGGACAAUGGGGGCAACCCUGAUCCAGCCAUGCCGCGUGCGGGAAGAAGGCCUUCGGGUUGUAAACCGCUUUUGUUCGGGAAGAAAUCCUCUGGGCUAAUACCCCGGGGGGAUGACGGUACCGGAAGAAUAAGCACCGGCUAACUACGUG
rnacentral:rRNA from 1 species